UUGAACGCUGGCGGCAUGCCUUACACAUGCAAGUCGAACGGCAGCACGGGAGCAAUCCUGGUGGCGAGUGGCGAACGGGUGAGUAAUAUAUCGGAACGUGCCCAGUCGUGGGGGAUAACACAUCGAAAGAUGUGCUAAUACCGCAUACGACCUGAGGGUGAAAGCGGGGGAUCGCAAGACCUCGCGCGAUUGGAGCGGCCGAUGUUCGAUUAGCUAGUUGGUGGGGUAAAGGCCUACCAAGGCGACGAUCCGUAGCUGGUCUGAGAGGAUGAUCAGCCACACUGGGACUGAGACACGGCCCAGACUCCUACGGGAGGCAGCAGUGGGGAAUUUUGGACAAUGGGCGCAAGCCUGAUCCAGCCAUGCCGCGUGAGUGAAGAAGGCCUUCGGGUUGUAAAGCUCUUUCAGACGGAAAGAAAUCGGGCGCGUGAAUAGCGUGCCUGGAUGACGGUACUGUCAGAAGAAGCACCGGCUAACUACGU
rnacentral:rRNA from 1 species